rnacentral:rRNA from 1 species
CCUACGGGAGGCAGCAGUGGGGAAUAUUGGACAAUGGGGGGAACCCUGAUCCAGCCAUGCCGCGUGUGUGAAGAAGGCCUUUUGGUUGUAAAGCACUUUAAGCGAGGAGGAGGCGCUCUAGGAUAAUACCCUAGAUGCGUGGACGUUACUCGCAGAAUAAGCACCGGCUAACUCUGUGC